CCCUUAGAUGUUCUGGGCUGCACGCGCGCUACACUGAUGCACUCAACGAGUUUACGACCUUGCCCGAUAGGGUUGGGUAAUCUUUUUAAAAUGCAUCGUGAUGGGGAUAGAUUAUUGCAAUUAUUAAUCUUCAACGAGGAAUUCCUAGUAAGCGCGAGACAUCAGCUCGUGCUGAUUACGUCCCUGCCCUUUGUACACACCGCCCGUCGCUCCUACCGAUUGAGUGCUCAGGUGAAUAAUUCGGACUGCAGCAAUGUUUGGAUCCCGAACGUUGCAGCGGAAAGUUUAGUGAACCUUAUCACUUAGAGGAAGGAGAAGUCGUAACA
rnacentral:rRNA from 1 species